rfam:Solanum lycopersicum cultivar Heinz 1706 chromosome 11, whole genome shotgun sequence.
UUACCUUUCUCAGUCUUUUGGCUAGAUCAAGUACUGAACUGUUCUUAUCAGUUUAACAUUUGAUCAAGUACUAAUCUGUUCUUAUCAGUUUAAUAUUUGAUACUUGGGGUCUCACCCCACUUGAUACCUGGGACUUCACGCAUCGCCCCAAAGCGUUUCCCUAAAGUCGAGGCCUGAUGUAUCUCAC